GAUGAACGCUGGCGGCGCGCCUAACACAUGCAAGUCGAACGAAGAUAUCUGUAGCAAUAUGGGUAUCUUAGUGGCGGACGGGUGAGUAACGCGUGAGGAACCUGCCUUUCGGAGGGGAAUAACACAUCGAAAGAUGUGCUAAUACCGCAUAACGUCAUCGGGUGGCAUCACUUGAUGACCAAAGGAGCAAUCCGCCGAAAGAUGGCCUCGCGUCCGAUUAGAUAGUUGGUGAGGUAAUGGCCCACCAAGUCAGCGAUCGGUAGCCGGACUGAGAGGUUGAACGGCCACAUUGGGACUGAGACACGGCCCAGACUCCUACGGGAGGCUG
rnacentral:rRNA from 1 species